GUGAUAAAUCCCUCACUCACAGGGUAUCUGUUUCUCAACUCUCACGGUAUUAUGUCCAAAUCUCGCGGUGACGUCACGGGGUCACGUGGGUCGGCGUGGGUCACGUGGGUCGGCGCAACCAACCGAGGUUUAGUAUUGAGCCGCUGCAGUUCAGUCUCAGAGAGGGAGCAGUGGGGAAGCUGCAUGAGAGACGAGCAACAGGAGCCCCUUACCGUGUCGCAACUGCCGUGCCGAGACCGCGACGGCCGAACGUAUGUGUAGUGCGCAGCGGACGGCCGGAUCUUAUAGAUGGCGAGCUAAAGGAGCCACGGACUGACAGAUUGUCGAAUGAGUCGCAUCCCUCCUGCCAGGCUGGUAGGGGGCUCUUUGUAGCCCAGUAAAAGACUCUCACCCACUCGCUCAGCCCCUGCCCAACACACGCACACACAUCCUUCCCCUAAACACUUUCCCACUCAUUUCCCCUGGACUCAAUUCCCCAACCCAGACGUGGGUUUACAUAAACUGUGGGGGGGCAGCUGGGAUCAUCUUUUUGGUGUUCAUAAUGAACCAAGCGUAUGGGUUUUUGCUUAUUUCUGACUCUGACUUUGUUAUCUGUUGAUGAAUCUGAAUCGUGAAUAUCUGAAUGUGCAUAUAUGCAAAUGAUUGAAAAAAGUUAACUUACCGUAAUUCUUUAAUUGUCUGCCUUUAGCAGAUCGGCCGGUUCACUGUAUAUAAUAUCACUUUAUUGUUGUGGGUUUUUCAUUGCACUUUUUGCUAUAUAAAAAAUACAUGGUAUCAUUCAACCAGCAA